GAUGAACGCUGGCGGCGUGCCUAAUACAUGCAAGUCGAGCGAACGGACGAGAAGCUUGCUUCUCUGAUGUUAGCGGCGGACGGGAGAGUAACACGUGGAUAACCUACCUAUAAGACUGGGAUAACUUCGGGAAACCGGAGCUAAUACCGGAUGAUAUUUUGAACCGCAUGGUUCAAAAGUGAAAGACGGUCUUGCUGUCUCUUAUAGAUGGAUCCGCGCUGCAUGAGCUAGUUGGUAAGGUAACGGCUUACCAAGGGAACGAUGCGUAGCCGACGUGAGAGAGUGAUAGGCGACCCUGGAAGGGAGACACGGUCCAGGGUACUGAGGGAGGCAGCAGACGCGUAUGUGAGGCAGUGGGCGAGAGUCUGGCGGAGCGAGGCGGAGUGUGAGGUGGAGGUGUUGGGAUCGUAAAGCUGUGUUUUGGGGUAAGAACAGAUGUGUAAGUAGCUGUGCACAGCUUGACGGUAACGAGUAAGAAAGCCACGGCUAACUACGUG
rnacentral:rRNA from 1 species